CAAUAGCUAGGCAGAAAAGGUACAGCAAAUAAACGAAAAGCAGAACCAUGAGUCUGAUGGCGAAAGAGGGGAAGCAGUUUGCUUUUCUGAUAGCAAUUUCAUGAGUCAGCUGACCUAAGAUACAUACUUCAAUUCUCAUGGGAUUUCUUGAGCUAGGAAAGGUGGUUGGCUUACGGCACAGUAGAGAGCUUCCAGGGCUGGCUGGCGUGGGAUACCCGUACCACAGAAAUGCAGGGACCAUUGCUUCUUCCAGGCCUCUGCUUUCUGCUGAGCCUCUUUGGAGCUGUGACUCAGAAAACCAAAAGUGAGUGCUCAGAGCCAGAACAGAGAACUUGUGGACCAAGGGCUGGACCUGGAGCCACUCAUGGUCUCCAGUGGGCUGGAGAAAAGUGCCUGUUCUGAGAGCAAUAUUUGGGAAGGCUUGCUCCUGUGUUUCAUUAUUUGUUUGCUUAAUUUAUCAUUAUAUCAAAUAUGGAUAGCCUUUUA
rnacentral:lncRNA from 1 species